AAUGAAAGGCUCGCUGCUGCCCUGGCUGGGAUCAAAGGGUGACUAGCAACAGCAGCUGUGAAAACCACCACCCCGGAGGGAGCAGGGGAAGGCAGGGGCUAUGAAUGUAGGCUGAGAGGGGGGCUCAGGCUGACAGGUAAUGUGAAUGCAGGAGUAAGAGAAGAUGAGAAGCGAUGUUCUCACUUGAAAUGGGGUUGCCUGUGUUCUGCUUCACCUGUGCUGUUUUUUUGCGAGAAGUCUUUCUGAUUUCUGUGAGAUCUCUAGAAGGAGCUGUAAUAGAGAAAUUAUAAGCUGACCUCUUUAAGGAUAUCUGACACCGUGAAUAUUAGAACCUGGGCUCAGUUCUCAGGAGUCAUGGGAUGUUUGGUUGUGAAAGUGCAAUAGUAAUAAUUUGAAAUAAUUUACAGUCAUGAGGGGUGCUCUGUCUGCCAUGUUCGUGGACCAAGAAAGGCGGCUGUAGCUCAAGGCAAGACUACAGCGAAUGUAGCAGUCUACUAAUACAGUAAAAUUCUGGGCUCAACUGAUACCGAUGGGGGUGAGAGGACUGUGGGCUGAA
rnacentral:lncRNA from 1 species